AUGCGGCGGGCUCGGGGCGCGGCGCUGCCAGCGCUGGCCGCGCUGAUGAUGAUCGUGGCUACAGGAAGAGCCCAGGUACAGCAGGAGCCAUUCCUGGAGACCACAGAAGGCGACGGCAUCAACAUCACCUGCUCACACCCCAAAAAAGUGCUCGGUGAAUACAUCCACUUCUACCGUCAUCUGCCUGGCAAAGGCCCCGAAUUCCUCGCCCUCACAGCUAGAGGCUCCAAGGAAGUGCCGGCCAUUGCAGGAAAGUUGACGGUGUCGCAGGACGGGCGUUCGAGCGCGCUGUGGCUCGGGCGGCCCCGGCGCGGGGACGCGGCCGUGUAUUACUGCGCGCUGGGGCCACGGGCAGAGGAGCCGGGGCUGCGGCCGGGCACGAACCGCCGCGGGCGGGGCCGGGCGGGGCCAGCAGGGGGCGCUGCCGCUCCCGCUUGA